UACUGAUCAGGAACCUAAAAAAAAAAAAAAAAUUUGUAAAGUCACCAUACACAUACUCACCUGCAUUAAUUAUCACUUGAAGACUGCUGUUAUAGCUGGAAUCAAUUACGGGGUAAUAAAUGACAGAACUCCAAAUUUGAAAAUAAUAAGGGAAUAAAAUGACAAGAAUGUACAUCAAAUUUCCCAGAAAAGCGAUCUUCAACUCAGAGCUUCUGGGUCAGUGAACACUCAGAGGUUUGGGGAGAGUGGUGUGCCUGGAGAGGGCAUGGCACCUCUGCACCCCUUUCCAUGCCUUGCCCUGCGCAUCUUUCCCAUCUGGCUGUUCCCGCGUUAUCUUCUUUUAUCAUAAACUGGUGAUGUACUUUAUGCUGGCCCCAGUGCUCAGGUCAUGUGUCAGUCCUGGAAGGAAUCUGACAUGAUGAUGCCUCAAACUGCACAUAUGGUUA